UUCUUGGCAGAUCAUUCGUAAGAGUCAAAUCCGCGGAUGGAGUCCUAUAGAUCGCAUGUUGCAAAGAUGAUGAUGAUGAGGAUGAUUCGGUGGAUGUUUCCUCGUAGUCACUCCAAUGCUUCGCAGGCUUAAUGAGUUACCUUCAAGCCUGGAAAAACGAAACUAGAAUCAAGAGAGAGAAGCAAAUGAAAAUGUCGUCCAAAAGCUGUGAAUUCAUAUUGAGGAUGUGGAUCCCAAACUUUUGCACUUUUAUGCCGAAAAUGACCACUGUGAUGUCUUUUAUGAGAUGAAUAUUCAUCAGCUGAAAGAAGAAAUUAGAUAAAAUAGAAGGUGGUCUCCUUUAUUGGUGGGUAAAAUUUCGCCCUUGGAAUUGAAUGUGAACUUUGCGUCGCUGUUUUCCUGUCUUCUUGUGGCAUCUUUUAUUGGUUGACGUAAGACUGCCAUUGAAAAUGAUAAGACAACAUUUACACUCAGAAAACUUACGGAUGAAGCACUUUUAUGCAGAACUCUAAACGUGGGAGCGGCGACGGUGGCGGCGACAGAUCGAUGUGACACAAGCGAUUCCUGGCGUUCAUCCUCGUGUCGCUUGUCAGUGUUGUUGGAUUGUUGAUGAACGAUGGGAGCGGCGCUUUGAUCCUUGUCAAACGCCCCGGCAAUACCAGUGGUGUUACUGAAGAAACCAGUCCAAAGAAUCAGCAAAAGUAUCACCAAAACGAAAAUAACCGCAGCAGUGAUCGUUGCGAGACGAUACGAGAUAUUCACAAGGAGAAAUUGAUUUAUUUCAAUGAAAUGUGGAAAAAAAUUUUGUCUCAGAGAUGAAAUAUAUGGUGAAUGUGGUAAUUAAACGAUGGAUAAGGAUCUAUCAUUCAUCUUAUGUAACUUUAACCUGAGAAAGCAGAGAGGUGCCGAUAGAGAGUGAAUGUUCACUUCCCAUUUCUUUUUUUUCCUCUACAUUAAACGACUCAGAAAUAGAAUGUCUAACUGGAUUGAACUCAAGGAAUUGACCUCUCUUCUUAAGUAAAAUAAAUCGGGAGACAUCGUAUUGCCCUCCCCCUUCUCCUUAAAAGGCCAUGGUUAAUUAUGUGUGUGUGCUGACCGGAAUUUGAAGCUAGAGAGACAAAAAGGAGUACAAGAGAGCAGUUUACAUAGUAACCUAAUCAGGAAGAAUUGCUGAAUGAGUCAGACAAAUUGUCUACCAUUUCUGUUUGUCUUCGGACUGCUAUAUACUUUCUCGCACUUCGAUUUCCUUUGUCAAUUAUCUCCUUAAACCUCCAGUUUGUUUCGAGGUUAAAAGCUAAAUUCAAAAGGUCCAAGAGGCAAUUUUUAAAAACAGACUGCUCGUUGAUAGAGCCAGAGUUAAAAAAAAAAAGACGAAUUCAGUAGUGAGAUUGGAGUAGAUUAUCAUGUAGCAUACAAGUACAAAAUAUAAAUAACACACAAUAUCUAGAGAUAAAAGAGAAUUCUGCAGGCGAAUGAAAAAGAAAUCGUUCGAUUGGCGCCAAACCUCUGAUGGGUCCCGGAGGUCAUCAUAUAUUGGAAAAAUGGAUUGCCUGCGGGGGAAUCAUUUCGAACUGUCGAAAAAAAAAAAAAUAUCACACGAUUAUCAUAUACUGAUUUCAUGAAUAAAAGCUUGAGGAACGACAGGACUUUCAAGAUCAAUUAUACGGCUGUUACACCAUAACCGGCUAUGCAGAUGUAUCUUCCAUGUUGCAUAUAUUGGGAUGCUGUGUAUGAUGCUCUUACACUCGUUGUGGCAUGCAUGUCAGUUCUUGGAAGCACUUCGGGUCAAGAUAUUUAAAUAUUUACGAGGCGUCAAAAUUUUGUGGUCCACUCCACGAAGAGUUCUUUGCGCUUGAAUUGAAAAGCUGAUAAAAUCAACACCACAGCAAAAAAAAAAAAAACUAUUAUGAAUCGAUUUCUUCACUUCUUUUUUUGGAUAGACAACUUUAUCACGGGAAAAAUGAUUGAUUCAUCGGUUUUUGUGUAAGGUAAAGUUGUACUUUUGAAACAAGGCACUAAAUGAAAGUAAGAGUUCUAUUGUUUGCGAAUGAAUUACAAUAAUGUCAGGACUAAUUCCCGUUUUGCUGUAGAGGAAAGGAACAAUAUCUCAUUGUCGCCUGGUUCACAUUUAUUUAAAUUUGACAUACGCAUCUGUAAGUUUGCUGAAUAGGAUUUCAUAAUCCGGAAGACAUUUGCGUACUGGAAGAGAAAGAGAGAGAGAAAAAAAAAUGAAAACGAGGAAAAAAAAAGAAUAAAAGAAGCCCACACACUAUCAGUUUGUCUUAUGCAAAUAAUGUAAAUUGUGUACGAACAAAAAAAAAAAAAAUUUUUUUUAGGAGGGAGGAUACGUACGAAAAGAGAGAUAUGGCACUACUGGCAUUGACGACCCACGUUUUUCUUAUUCAGUCGCAAGAUAUGAAGUGACACGUUGACAACUCUUUUAAUUCGAAGCUGAUUAGCAAAAACGAAGUGGGUGAGAGUGGAGAACGUAAAUUACAAAAGCUGCACCUUCACAAAUCUUGGCGAAUGUAUUAUCAAAGGACCGCGCGAAGGGAAGAGAAUCGAGAAAAGGGUUGAGGAGAAUUAUCCCAAGUUCAAUACAGAAAACUACAGGAAUGGAAAAUUUAAAGAAUAGAUGAUAUAGAAUUCUAGGAGGUUGGACAGAAAACCUGUUCGUAAACAAAAGGACGAGAGACGAAAGAUCCUGAAAUGAAUCUGUGGAAUAUUCUUGGAAGUUCUUGAUAAAUUUUCUUUGCGCGCAAGUGUUAUUUAAAUGAAUAAAGAGGAGAAGGGCUUGUUCCUGAGAAGAUGAGUUAAAUUUCUCGAGAGAAAUUCGAAGGAAGAGGAGUGAAUGAGAGGAGAACUUAUGAAUGAAACGAAACAUCCUGAACAUUACUCGUAAUAUUGCUGUCAGUAUUACCGAAAAUUCACAGUGGUAGCAGAUCUUCUUAUUCCAGUCAUUAACCUUUCUUACACUUACACACAUAAAUCUGUAUGGAAGAACGAACUUUACGGGACUUUAAUAAUGGGGGAUGAGUCAAUGCUGCAAAAAUACUGAGAGAGGAAGUGUAGAAGAAUUUUUCUUUCGAGAGCGAUUUUCAAAGAUUUCUUUAUGUUUUUCAAAGAUUAUUAAGAGACAGAGGGAUUGGAAAAAUUUUC